rnacentral:rRNA from 1 species
GAUGAACGCUGGCGGCGUGCCUAAUACAUGCAAGUCGAGCGAACGGACGAGAAGCUUGCUUCUCUGAUGUUAGCGGCGGACGGGUGAGUAACACGUGGAUAACCUACCUAUAAGACUGGGAUAACUUCGGGAAACCGGAGCUAAUACCGGAUAAUAUAUUGAACCGCAUGGUUCAAAAGUGAAAGACGGUCUUGCUGUCACUUAUAGAUGGAUCCGCGCUGCAUUAGCUAGUUGGUAAGGUAACGGCUUACCAAGGCAACGAUGCGUAGCCGACCUGAGAGGGUGAUCGGCCACACUGGAACUGAGACACGGUCCAGACUCCUACGGGAGGCAGCAGUAGGGAAUCUUCCGCAAUGGGCGAAAGCCUGACGGAGCACCGCCGCGUGAGUGAUGAAGGUCUUCGGAUCGUAAAACUCUGUUAUUAGGGAAGAACACAUGUGUAAGUAACUCUGCACAUCUUGACGGUACCUAAUCAGAAAGCCCCGGCUCACUCCGUG